rnacentral:rRNA from 1 species
AUUGAACGCUGGCGGCAGGCCUAACACAUGCAAGUCGGACGGUAGCACAGAGGAGCUUGCUCCUCGGGUGACGAGUGGCGGACGGGUGAGUAAUGUCUGGGGAUCUGCCCGAUAGAGGGGGAUAACCACUGGAAACGGUGGCUAAUACCGCAUAACGUCGCAAGACCAAAGAGGGGGACCUUCGGGCCUCUCACUAUCGGAUGAACCCAGAUGGGAUUAGCUAGUAGGCGGAGUAACGGCCCACCUAGGCGACGAUCCCUAGCUGGUCUGAGAGAAUGACCAGCCACACUGGAACUGAGACACGGUCCAGACUCCUACGGGAGGCAGCAGUGGGGAAUAUUGCACAAUGGGCGCAAGCCUGAUGCAGCCAUGCCGCGUGUAUGAAGAAGGCCUUCGGGUUGUAAAGUACUUUCAGCGGGGAGGAAGGCGAUGUGGUUAAUAACCGCGUCGAUUGACGUUACCCGCAGAAGAAGCACCGGCUAACUCCGUGCCAGCAGCCGCCGUAA